rnacentral:rRNA from 1 species
GAUGAACGCUAGCGGCAGGCUUAAUACAUGCAAGUCGAGGGGCAGCGCGGGUAGCAAUACUUGGCGGCGACCGGCAAACGGGUGCGGAACACGUACGCAACCUUCCCAUAACUGGUGAAUAGCCUUUCGAAAGAGAGAUUAAUACACCGUAACAUAACGAAGAGGCAUCUCUUUGUUAUUAUAGGCUUCGGCCGGUUUUGGAUGGGCGUGCGCCUGAUUAGGUAGUUGGCGGGGUAACGGCCCACCAAGCCUGCGAUCAGUAACUGGUGUGAGAGCACGACCAGUCACACGGGCACUGAGACACGGGCCCGACUCCUACGGGAGGCAGCAGUAAGGAAUAUUGGUCAAUGGACGCAAGUCUGAACCAGCCAUGCCGCGUGAAGGAUGAAGGUCCUCUGGAUUGUAAACUUCUUUUAUCUGGGACGAAAAAGCUCAUUCUUGAGCACUUGACGGUACCAGAGGAAUAAGCACCGGCUAACUCCGUGCCAGCAGCCGCGGU